rnacentral:tRNA from 1 species
UGCCCUGUAGUUGAAUUAGGACAAUGGUAAAUUGCAAAUUUACAGGUGUAGUAAUACCGGGGUAU